rnacentral:rRNA from 1 species
CCUACGGGUGGCAGCAGUGAGGAAUAUUGGUCAAUGGACGCAAGCCUGAACCAGCCAAGUAGCGUGAAGGAUGACUGCCCUACGGGUUGUAAACUUCUUUUAUAAAGGAAUAAAGUGAGGCACGUGUGCCUUUCUGAAUGUACUUUAUGAAUAAGGAUCGGCUAACUCCGUGCCAGCAGCCGCGGUAAUACGGAGGAUUCGAGCGUUAUCCGGAUUUAUUGGGUUUAAAGGGUGCGUAGAUGGGUUGUUAAGUCAGUUGUGAAAGUUCGCGGCUCAACCGUAAAAUUGCAAUUGAUACUGGCAGUCUUGAGUGCAGUUGCGGUAGGCGGAAUGCGUGGUGUAGCGGUGAAAUGCUUAGAGAUCACGAAGAACUCCGAUUGCGAAGGCAGCUUACUAAGCUGCCACUGACAUUGAUGCUCGAAAGUGUGGGUAUCAAACAGGAUUAGAUACCCCAGUAGUC